rnacentral:rRNA from 1 species
CAGAGUUUUGAUUCUGGCUCAGGAUGAACGCUGGCGGCGUGCUUAACACAUGCAAGUCGAACGGUGAAGCCCAGCUUGCUGGGUGGAUCAGUGGCGAACGGGUGAGUAACACGUGAGCAAUCUGCCCCUGACUCUGGGAUAAGCGCUGGAAACGGCGUCUAAUACUGGAUAUGAACCGUGGAGGCAUCUUCAACGGUUGGAAAGAUUUUUUGGUCAGGGAUGAGCUCGCGGCCUAUCAGCUUGUUGGUGAGGUAAUGGCUCACCAAGGCGUCGACGGGUAGCCGGCCUGAGAGGGUGACCGGCCACACUGGGACUGAGACACGGCCCAGACUCCUACGGGAGGCAGCAGUGGGGAAUAUUGCACAAUGGGCGCAAGCCUGAUGCAGCAACGCCGCGUGAGGGAUGACGGCCUUCGGGUUGUAAACCUCUUUUAGCAGGGAAGAAGCGAAAGUGACGGUACCUGCAGAAAAAGCGCCGGCUAACUACGUGCCAGCAGCCGCGGUAAUACGUAGGGCGCAAGCGUUAUCCGGAAUUAUUGGGCGUAAAGAGCUCGUAGGCGGUUUGUCGCGUCUGCUGUGAAAUCCCGAGGCUCAACCUCGGGUCUGCAGUGGGUACGGGCAGACUAGAGUGCGGUAGGGGAGAUUGGAAUUCCUGGUGUAGCGGUGGAAUGCGCAGAUAUCAGGAGGAACACCGAUGGCGAAGGCAGAUCUCUGGGCCGUAACUGACGCUGAGGAGCGAAAGGGUGGGGAGCAAACAGGCUUAGAUACCCUGGUAGUCCACCCCGUAAACGUUGGGAACUAGUUGUGGGGUCCAUUCCACGGAUUCCGUGACGCAGCUAACGCAUUAAGUCCCCGCCUGGGAGAC